AUUGAACGCUGGCGGCGUGCCUAACACAUGCAAGUCGAGCGGUAACAGGUGUAGCAAUACAUGCUGACGAGCGGCGGACGGGUGAGUAACGCUUGGGAAUCUGCCUAUUAGUGGGGGACAACCCGGGGAAACUCGGGCUAAUACCGCAUACGCUCUACGGAGGAAAGCCGGGGACCGCAAGGCCUGGCGCUAAUAGAUGAGCCCAAGUCGGAUUAGCUAGUUGGUAGGGUAANGGCCUACCAAGGCGACGAUCCGUAACUGGUCUGAGAGGACGACCAGUCACACCGGAACUGAGACACGGUCCGGACUCCUACGGGAGGCAGCAGUGGGGAAUAUUGGACAAUGGGCGAAAGCCUGAUCCAGCGACGCCGCGUGGGU
rnacentral:rRNA from 1 species